rnacentral:ncRNA from 14 species
CCAACGGCCCUCUUUAGGGCCACAAUUAUGAAAAAUCCGGGAGAAU